rnacentral:rRNA from 1 species
CCUACGGGAGGCAGCAGUGGGGAAUCUUGCGCAAUGGGCGAAAGCCUGACGCAGCAACGCCGCGUGCGGGAAGAAGGCCUUCGGGUUGUAAACCGCUUUCAGCAGGAACGAAAAUGACGGUACCUGCAGAAGAAGGAGCGGCCAACUACGUGCCAGCAGCCGCGGUGACACGUAGGCUCCAAGCGUUGUCCGGAUUUAUUGGGCGUAAAGAGCUCGUAGGCGGUUCAGUAAGUCGGGUGUGAAAACUCUGGGCUCAACCCAGAGCCUGCAUUCGAAACUGCUGUGACUAGAGUUUGGUAGGGGUAGCGGGGAAUUCCUAGUGUAGCGGUGAAAUGCGCAGAUAUUAGGAGGAACACCGGUGGCGAAAGCGCCGCUCUGGGCCAAUACUGACGCUGAGGAGCGAAAGCGUGGGUAGCAAACAGGAUUAGAUACCCUGGUAGUCCACGCCGUAAACGAUGGGCACUAGGUGUGGGUUUCAACUAACGAAAUCCGUGCCGUCGCUAACGCAUUAAGUGCCCCGCCUGGGGAGUACGGUCGCAAGCUAAAACUCAAAGGAAUUGACGG